GUUAGAGUAGUGUGAGGAGCAUACAAAGGCAAAAAUUGAGAAAAUAAACACUGCUUUCCCUGAAAACAAUGAAGAAGGCUAUUCCAUUUGCUCUUCUCCUUUUGCUCUCUUCAUUUCUCUCCCUCCCUUCUUCCACUCAUGCUCGUGUAUUAGUUGACCAGACGCCAGUGAUUGGGGGAACAGGAAAUAAGAAUAAGCCUGCGGUUCCUUGUCCUCCUAAUCAAACUUAUGCCAAAUGCCUUCCACGACCAAAGUCGCCACCAACUUCUUCAUCCCCUGGAAGAAAUUGAUUUUAGAAAAAUAUAUUAUAAUAUUAAUAAAAUAGUUGUGAGCAGUGCUCACUUCUACCACAGGUAAUAAUUAUUUGUAAAAGAUGGGGAGUGACAGCGUCAAAAAUAUGAGGAUUGAAGAGGAUAAAUAAAAAGUAUCAGAACUUUUAAACUCGACUCUUAGGAUUUCGAAUUAAGAUAUGUUGUUGUAGCUUUUGAUUCCUCUAAUUCCUCUACUCAAGUUGUGUGUAUUGUAUUAUUGUACUAUUACAUUGCAUGUGAGAGAAUUCUAAAAUAUGCGUCAUUCUGUUGGUGUUGUAAUAUGUAUGAGGAAUUGGUGCCUCUUCGUUUAUUUAUUAUAUAUUUAAUAAUUAAUUAAUAAAGUCCCGCUUCUACUUGUAGUUUCA